UGUUGGGGGCAUUGUUUGUUUUUCCCUAGAAAGAACGCUCCCCUGAAAACUGUUCUUGAUUUCAUCUUUUAUGACUUUAUGUAGACUAACAGGACUUUCAAGCAGCAGUAGCUGAUUAUAUAAUUUUUGCUGAGUUCUUUUGUAGUCUGCAAUUUUCAGCCUUCAAGAAUGUGCCAAGAAUUCCUUUUCAUGCAAAAUCAAUGUAGAUGCAGUAAACCAGUUAAUAAUUCAUAAGACGUAAAUGUCAAAGAUAGUGUUUGUGUUACCAGAUGAGUCACUUAGAGCUUGUCUGUCUUGGAAAGUUAUGGCAUCAUAGUCGGAGGACUGAACUUAAAGUGCUGCAAUUUUUAGAAGUAUGACUCUAGGAUGGAUAGAUUUCCUCCUGUCAGUAUAGGAGUAGCUUUUCGAGUAGCUUUGCCACUUAAUUGAUAUUGUUUGGAAAAAGAUCUGAGGACAGCAAAUGAAGCACCGUCCUUUCCACUGGAAUCAGAGUAUUUGCACAGAACUGUUCAUGGCAUUAGAGAUGACCAGUUGGUAUAUUCUUCUCAACUAAUUCACUGGCUGAAUUUGUUCUUCUGUAGGAAUGCUAUUUUUGACGCUGAAACAGAGUUAGUUAAAGGUCGGUAUUGCUCCAGUUGAAGUAAUAGGAGAUUUUAGUACUUAGGAGCAGGUCUUAACUGAGUUUUCUGCUGGUUGCUUCAUCCCAUUUCUUGCUUUGGCCAAGAAAGAAAGGAUUUGAUUUUACUUCCUACAGUUAUUAAAGGAAGUAAGAACUCUUAAAACAGCUCCAGCAUGAGGAAGGUUCAGUGAUAUGCAAAUAUUUUUUAGGAACCAAAAAGUUUGAAUGUAGAAAUGUACUUUCAAAUGCAGAAUAAGCAUAUGUGCACAUGGUUGACUGACUAGAAUGGAGUCUAAUCCAGGGAGCCUUGUGCUAACAUUAAAAAAUAGAAGUUUGUCUUUCAGGAAGAAUGGCUGGAUCUUACGGUACUCACAUGGUCUCUAUUAUUUAUGUUCUAAAUUUGUUUCUAAAAUAGGACUAUUUGUUUCUUAGACUGAGGGGAAAUCUCCUUCCCUUUCCACAGAAGUGCUGAAAAACAUUUUACUAUAUAUUAGGCAGAUUCAUUGCUGUCAGAAUGUGACUCUGUUGCAGGCAGUAGGUAUAAUAUGCUGUUCAUCUUGCCUGUCUUAAGUAUAGACAGGGAAAAUGUGAAUUUCUGGAGGAGAGGAAGACUCAGUUAUUGAAAAAAGACACAAGCUUAGAAACUUGUGAAAUAGGUAAUGUAGAUCUUUAACUUUUGUUUUCAUGCAGAAAACCUUUUCCUCUGUUAGUUUUGACCAGUUUGUCUUGCCUCUGUAAACAGCUACAAAGGGCACGUGGCAGCAAAAGUUAAGCUUUGCAUGGUAGGAACUGGAUUCUCUUAUUAAAGUAAGAACCACAAAUACCUGAUAUCAAAAGGCAGAUAACUUCACUUUAUUUUGCAAUGUCUUAGUUCAAAAUAAUUUCAUUUUGGAACCUGUGAUUUUCACAAUUGUGAAAUCUCUCCGCAAAGGUCUGGUUGGCUUGUUUCAAAAUGGCUGCAUUUUGAUAGCAAAAAAAAAAAAAAAAAAAACACAAAAAACCCAACCUGUGAUAAUUGAAAUAGGUUGUAGAGCUUUUGGUGUUCUCUUCAGAGUACUGUAGUUUUUAUUUAACUGUAAAGAUGGGUGGGAGUAAGAUUUCCUGAAAUGAAGAUGAAUGAGGAUGAAAGAGUAGGAAAGUUCUCAGCAGAAAGCCACAAAACCAGAACAGAGGCAAAUUCUGUGCUCAUGUUUGUAUGGAUAACUCUGACUAUCAGAGCCAGGAGAAAUGGCAGGCAUUGGUGAAUGAAGCUGCCACUUUGUAUUUUCUGCUCCAUUAGUGCACUGUAUCCAGGGUCCUCAAUUCCUGAUCUGGACACUAUGACAGUAUGUGUUGCUCCAGCACAGGAGACAAGACGGCCAGCAUUCCCAAAACACACAGAACCUCAAUAAAACCAGUGGUUAAAGAGGUCAAUGUGGAUUUAACUGUGUCCAUCCGUGUACAUAGAAUCGAACAUGACUAAGGAAGGAAAAGCCGACAUUAUUUCUGUGAUGAUAAGCCCAUCUGUUGCAAAUUUCCUGUCUCAUUGGGGAGAAAGAAUAAGGAAAAGGGAAAAGAGUCAGCUGGUCUAACUUGUGAACAAUCUUUUAACAAAAGCUUCCAGACAGUGUCUGGAAAAUAAGCCACUUGUGACUCGGGUGCUUGUUCCUUCCCAUAGUUUGAGCUUGGUUAGCAAACAGGGUGGCAGUCCUUAAGUAUGUGAAAAUUUUCCUCAGUGUCGACUGCCAAACACUCUGCAAGCUUGUGAUGAACAAAGUGCCUAUUUGAAAUCUUUUACUCAUUCUAACAGGUAACAAUGAAGUUCAGAAGUGUUCUGGGCAGAAGCUGAACUCUGCAUUAGCAUAUUCCUGCAUCUCUGUGAAAUGCCGUGGCAUCUGUGCUGGGUCCGCUGGUACAGCCAGUGACGGAAUGUACCUGGAUAAGUUGCGAAGGUCAUCUUAGAAUUUUAAUCAGUUUCUUGGAGGAAGUAAACAUUCAUGACUCUUUGUGAAGAAGAUGAAAAGUGACAGAAAUAUUGGUCAGGAUUUCUGAACCUUUAGCAAAGUUUAUGCAAAUCUAUCCUUCUGAAACCAAUGUUUACUUCUGAAAUAAUAAUGUAUGUUAAUUUUCACGUCUCUGGGGCUAAAUGAAAUGAAUAGUCCCCAGAAAACUGACAUAUUAAAGGAUCUGUUACUGCUCUGGUUUUCUGUGUAAACUUGUAUAAAAAUGGCAAAACACCAGUAGCAUCCAUUC